AAUACGUUCCCGGGCCUUGUACACACCGCCCCGUCAAGCCAUGGAAGCUGGGGGUACCUGAAGUCGGUGACCGCAAGGAGCUGCCUAGGGUAAAACUAGUAACUGGGGCU
rnacentral:rRNA from 1 species